rnacentral:rRNA from 1 species
UACGUAGGGGGCGAGCGUUGUCCGGAGUUACUGGGCGUAAAGCGCUUGUAGGCGGUCCACCAAGUUUGGGGUGACAGUUGCCGACUUAAUCGGCAAAGUGCCUCAAAGACUGGCGGACUUGAGGCCACAGAGGGACAUGGAACUCCAGGUGUAGUGGUGAAAUGCGUAGAUAUCUGGAAGAACACCAAAGGCGAAGGCAGUGUCCUGGGUGGUCGCUGACGCUGAGAGGCGAAAGCCAGGGGAGCGAACGGGA